UUAGUGAAUCUGUUACAGGAGAUCGAUGGAUUGGAAAAUUCAAUUUUGUUGAGACACGUUCAUAUUGGCAUAUAUUUAUAAGAAAUGACAGAAUGCGGAGCUUUUUUAUAUUGUACCUUUAGGUAAACAUCAAUUGUUAUUCGUCCUUAUAUUUUAAUUAUCUUAUUCUCUAACGUAGCAUAUCAUCUCGGUUUCAAUUUAUUUUAUUCUGAAGGCAGUUGCUUGGAAUUGAUCUGGUGAUUUAAGAGGUACAAUUGAUGGAAAUGUAUUCCAUGAACUAUCAAGCAUUUUCAUCAUAGUAGCCGCACUAAAAUUCGUACAAGUUCUCGAUAUUGUCAUGAGCUGGAAAGCAAGAAAGAGCAUAUUCGAUCUAAUAAGGACAAGAAGACAACAUAAUUUUUUCCGAUGUGGAACGAAAUAACUCUGAGUUUCAGACAAGAGAACUAUACAAGCAGAUCUUUCAAAAUCGUUGAUGUGAGUCAUAGUUACCACCUUAAUUAAUCUUUUGGAUAUGUGUUUUAUAUUUCAAUUCUACUAAAGACUGAUGGAUACUACGUACCUU